GCCUAACACAUGCAAGUCGAACGGAACUUUUUUAAUUGAUUUCUUCGGAAUGAUUUUGAUUAAGUUUAGUGGCGGACGGGUGAGUAACGCGUGAGUAACCUGCCUCUGAGAGGGGAAUAACAUUCUGAAAAGAAUGCUAAUACCGCAUAAUAUAUAUUUAUCGCAUGGUAGAUAUAUCAAAGAUUUAUCGCUCAGAGAUGGACUGGCGUCCGAUUAGUUAGUUGGUGAGGUAACGGCUCACCAAGACCACGAUCGGUGGCCGUACUGAGAGGUUGAACGGCCACAUUGGGACUGAGACACGGCCCAGACUCCUACGGGAGGCAGCAGUGGGGGAUAUUGCGCAAUGGGGGAAACCCUGACGCAGCAACGCCGCGUGAAGGAUGAAGGUCUUCGGAUUGUAAACUUCUUUUAUUAAGGACGAAUAAAGUGACGGUACUUAAUGAAUAAGCUCCGGCUAACUACGUGCCAGCCGCCGCAGUAA
rnacentral:rRNA from 1 species